CGUUUCUCAGGGCCCAGUAGGGCUGCCGGGCGAGGCGGGCGAGCCGGGCCGCGCGGGCGACGUCGGACCGCGGGAGAACCGCUGGCCGCCGGACUUCGCCUUCACGUAGGAGCGCCGCCGCCGCCGCCGCCGCGCCGCCACUUCUGUAAAUUGUAAAAUUUGUACGUAACUAGGCUAAGACGUAUUAUUUAAGACGUUACCAAAUUUAGAUUUAAGUGUUGAAAUCUGUAUAAAGAUGAUAUUUUUCAUAAUUUUAGGCGGUAAUUGUGAACGAAGCGACGUCGACGACGGACGAUCCUUAGAUUUUACACUUACUUUACACCGCGACGUGCGCGUGCGAUGUGCGACGUGCGCGUACCGCUCACUUGUAUGUUGACGUCGUCGACGACGCUGUCGACAUUUGUAACAUUUUUCAUUCCAUUUUAUAUUUCGUUCGUAUUGUAAACUUCUCAUAUUGUGUGUAUAAAUAUAUCACUAAAUGUAAGUACACGUAAGUUGUAAAAUGUUCGACGAUCAGAGUGACUAUUUUGUAUCAAAUAAGUAUAUAUUUGUAUAUUGGAGUUCGAUAUCGCGCGAACGCGCCGGCCGACGCGUCGGUCUCUCGCUUCGUGGAUAACGAUGAACGUUUCAUUAUUGCCCAAUUCUUAGAGUAAGUCCUAUAGUAUCGUCCUAUGAUUAUUAUCGUCAUUUCUAAUGUGUGUAACCUAUAGUUAAGAGAAAGUCGGCGGCGGCGCACGGAGCGCACGCGUCGCGUGUCUCGACUGCAAUCAAGUCAUCGAGUGUCACAGAGGGCUCGAAGCCACAGACGCUACAACAUGCUUUAAAUGACACGACACCGACACGACCGGCGCCGCGCCGCGCUCGUGCGCCGACACGCGGCGGGCGCGAGCUGUCCGGGCGAGGCUGGCCUCGGUCGUGUUUCACUGGUCUGCCAGAGAAUGAAGUGUGUUCAAAUAGAAUAUAUUGGCAUAAGUAUGAUGUAUCAUAGUGCCACCAUCAUCACGUGACUCCAAUCGGCAGAAACAGGUGGAACACUCUAAAUACGCAAUACCGAGCCGCCCGCCGGCGCCCCCGCCCCCGCGCCGCCGCACAGUCCCGAGUGCUCCGUCCGCACUGAUAACCUGCAUACUUUAACGUCGAUUCGUGCGUAUUCGCUUUUAUCCUCGUCUAUGUAUUGUCCCGCGUUCUAUUUCGCUAAUGCUAAGUGUCUACGAAAUACGAAAUCGAUAGAGUCUAGUGCCGCCGGUCGUCGCGGCGGGCCAUCGUGUCGUCGUAUGUUGCGCCGAGUGUACGUACUAUAGAACUAUAUAAUUAAGGAUUUAGUUUUUUUAUAAAAGUGAAAGUUGUCAUUUGUACCAUACUCACGAGAGCGUAAAAUAUUGUUGUUCACAGAUUAUUUUCAAGGAAAAUAAAUAAAUAUUUGCAUGCCGUGCAUAUUCUGGUCUUUCUUUUACUUGACUUUCGCUUACCUUUACUUCUUCCCUUCAUUUCCUUUUCGAAUAUUUUUGCAACUAGCAGACAGACGACUGAAAAGACAUGUGUG
rnacentral:misc_RNA from 1 species